AAUAGUCUCUCACGAGUCACAAGUACGCAAGCUAGCGAACUUUCUCAUCACACCAAAUGCAUGAACAGAACACAACAGAUUUGUGCAUCUAUAAAAGAAGCCAGGACCAGCCAAACAUUUACCCUUCUUAUAAAAUAACUCAAAAACCAAAACCCAAAACCAGGACCACUAGCUAAGGCACCAUAUGUAAAUAUAUAUAUAUAUAUAUAUAUAUAUAUAUAUGCACGUCAGUAUAUAUCACGUUUCCUCCAAACAAAGGGUGGGUUUUUGAAUCGCAAGCAGAUAUAUGAGAGAGCUGUUUCAUGAGAGAGUUUUGGAGUAUGCAUAUCUUAUAAACGAGUGCAGGUGGAGGCUUCCAAAGGGAUCGCAUUGAUCUAAUCAACCAAAUCAACAUGGUGAGUUUAGAUAUUUGAUAUUGGAUCGAUGCGAUCCCUUGGGAAGUUUCCGUCGUCAGCUCUAAAUCAUCAUGUUCAUGAAUCAUGUGGUUCGUUCAUCCAGGUAAGAAAGUUGAAACAAAACCCUCCUUUCUGAAUUUUUUCAGUGCUUAAUUUCACGAUAUAUGGUAAUUAAAUUUUGCUCACUUGUCUGAAUUACACAAAAGAGCCUGUGCAAAUAAUAUAUUUAUAUAUAUAAGCACAACUUGAUGAAUACAUGGCUCAUCAUUAUUCUGAUGAGUAACUUGAUACUUUUGUUUCCUCGUGGUGGUGAUUGAUUGUUGUUGUUCCUCUGCUAUUUUCUUAAUUUGGUUGUCAAGAUUUGAAGAUCAAAAUCAAGACGAAACAGGGAAACCCACAAAAUUUAUGCUUGUUAAAAUUAGUUUUCCAAUUUAAAAUUGUUUCAUAAAACUUCCCAUCUGAUCUUGAGCAUUCCGCACAGAUUAAUAUAAUUGAUUCAACAUGCAUGCUGUAGCCUGAACUGAAACUGAUGACCCAUGGGCCAAAGAUGGAGCAUCUCGUGAUCCAUUUAUGACCUUAUUAAAUUGUCAUUCAUUCAUGACAAGAAACUGUUUGUGUUUUAAAUUCACUGAAACAAGUUGUAAAAUAUCUUACACAAGAAAUCUUGAAUUAGAUUUGAUCUGACCGAGGCAAAAAACCAACAUGAAUAUGUCUCAUCGACGACAAAUCCAGCACUAAAAACAGUCAUUAUUGUCGGAUAUUUUCUUGCCCCAUGGGCCUGCCGAGUGGACUAUAUAUAUGCAUGAUUGUUGAACUACUCUGUCUGAUGUCUGAUGAUGCAAUUGCUUGAUUGUUUUUGUCUUUCCCAAAUAUAUAUGUACACACACACACACAUGUAUGUACAUGAUGUUCAUAGAUAGACAUGGCAGGUGAGAAGGAACCCACAUGAUUCAUGAACGAAUAAUAAUCAAUAAAGAACAACAAAGCAUCACUAACAUGAAUCGUACUAUUUUUCAUUGUCGGUAACAUGUUUGUUUGUUAAGCUCCCAGUAGUUUUUGUCAGGGAAAACUAUGUAUAUACCUGGAUAUUUAUAUAUAUAUGAACAAAUAGAUUGUCUGAAUUAUAUACAUAUAUGCUAGAUAUUAUGUUCAAAUGAGAAUUGACAUGUUGGCCAUCGUGGUCUCUGAUAUUUAUGAUUGCUGCUAAAAAUUCAUCUUCUCCUUCUUGAAACAUUAAAUUUAGAAUUUUGUCACCAUCACACACCUGGCUAGCUAUACAUGUGUAUAAAGAUUGCUCAAGUAUAUAUAUAUAUAUAUGCGCAUUUGAUCUAAUAUUUUUGUUAAUACAUGAAUGCGUAAAGAUUGAAAGAAAAUAACAUACUUUGAAAAAACAAAAUGUAAUAGGAUAGCAUUGGAGUUGGAGAGAAGGCUUUUCGCUUGAGAGAGAAAAGUAGAAGCCCAAACCAGUCCCACAAGAGCCCAAUAGUAGAAGCCCACACUCUCAUUUUUGGUCUAAAUCCGCUUCACUAACAGCCCAAUGGAGCCAAAGGAGAUACAAAAGACGUGGCCCUUGGCUCACGAAUCAAAAACAGUACAACAAAAGGGAAUCAGCUAAACUAAGCACAGUUUGAAAAAUUGGCCUACACCCAUGUCAAAACCCGAUUAGUUCGGCCCGGCCCAAUUAGAGGACAAGGUAGGCCAUCCGAGACCAACACACGAAUCAGAGACAGUGGUGGCCUGUCCGUAGUGGUGGUUCCAGGAUUCGAAAGCUUGCUGAGCAAAACUUAUAUACUAAACUCGACGAUACAAGUGGAUUUUGUUAAUAAACAUAUAAAGAUAUACAUAGUUAGAGGGAUAUAAUGAGCCUUACCUUCAAAUGCAUCUCUAUCAAUAAAUAAAAGUUUAACAAAUACAAAAAAAUAAAACUAGACAACAUAAACCUGGAUCACACUUAAGAUAAUUGAUAUUAAAAUCUUGAUCAUCAGCAACUCUUUGAUUUUCAACUCUUUCAACUUGAGGCUCAACAAUGAGAGAUUUGGAAAGAUUUUACCAAGAAGAGAAAUCAAACAUCUCAACAAAAAUAAACCAAUUCUCAUAAUAGCAUCAAUGCAUUUAAUUAAACAUGCCAACACAAAUCAAACAUCUCAACAAUACCAACCACAAAUCAAACAUCUCAACAAAAUUCCUAAAAUCAAAGCUCUAAUUCAUUUCAACAAAAUUCCCAAAUUUUAAUUCAUUCCUAAUUAAACCCUAGAAUAUUCAAUUUCAAAUUAGAAAUAUAUAAAAUAAUUAAAAAUGAGAGAAUGAGAAAAAUAAUUGUUGCUAGCAAGAGGAGAAGUUGAUGUCUAUAUGUCAAGAGAAGUAAAGGAGACGUUGUUGCAGACAAGACAAGAGGAGAGAAGCUGCCCAACAUGCCGUUAACAUAGAAACGCUCCUGCAAGUCUACCCAACUUUCUAAUCAGUAAUGGUACUCUCUUGUUUUUAGUAUAAGUGAUAGUCUAAAUUAUAGGAGAGGAGGGUUUCCUCACGCGCACACAACCAAAAUAUCAUGAGGAUUCAAACGUAAAACCUCUAGUUUGCAAAUCAAGAUCAUUUUCCACUUGACUACCAACCUUAUUGCAUUCUAAAUAAAAUAGAAGCUUCUAGUUCUAGGUGAACAGGAUAUAAAGUUGUUGAAUCUUCUUUCUUUCUUUUUUUCCACAGUAAAUUUGGACAAUAA
rnacentral:lncRNA from 1 species